UAGGGAAUCUUCGGCAAUGGACGAAAGUCUGACCGAGCAACGCCGCGUGAGUGAAGAAGGUUUUCGGAUCGUAAAACUCUGUUGUUAGAGAAGAACAAGGACGUUAGUAACUGAACGUCCCCUGACGGUAUCUAACCAGAAAGCCACGGCUAACUACGUGCCAGCAGCCGCGGUAAUACGUAGGUGGCAAGCGUUGUCCGGAUUUAUUGGGCGUAAAGCGAGCGCAGGCGGUUUCUUAAGUCUGAUGUGAAAGCCCCCGGCUCAACCGGGGAGGGUCAUUGGAAACUGGGACACUUUAGUGCAGAAGAGGAGAGUGGAAUUCCAUGUGUAGCGGUGAAAUGCGUAGAUAUAUGGAGGAACACCAGUGGCGAAAGCGGCUCUCUCGUCUGUAACUGACGCUGAGGCUCGAAAGCGUGGCGAGCAAACAGG
rnacentral:rRNA from 1 species